AGCCCGGUAGUGUAGCGGUCAAUCACGAGAGGCUCUGGACCUCUUUACCACGGUUCGAAUCCGUGCCGGGCUA
rnacentral:tRNA from 1 species